AGGUGAAAAAAGAUUUGGAAAACAUGAAAAACGAGGGCAAAAAUACAGAGCUAGAGGAUAUCCAUCUCACAGUGCAGGAUGCUGCACAAGUUUUGAUUGGUCUAAACACAAGCGUAAAUGAGAGGUUUCUACAUUUUCAACAAAGCAUCAUGCAACUGGAUCAAAAGGUGAAAAAUACUACUGGCAGCACGAGCAUCAGAGGACCACCUGGAGUUAAUGGUACUAAUGGGGACACUGGAC